rnacentral:rRNA from 1 species
GAGUUUGAUCGUGGCUCAGAUUGAACGCUGGCGGCAGGCCUAACACAUGCAAGUCGAGCGGAUGAAGGGAGCUUGCUCCUGGAUUCAGCGGCGGACGGGUGAGUAAUGCCCAGGAAUCUGCCUGGUAGUGGGGGAUAACGUCCGGAAACGGGCGCUAAUACCGCAUACGUCCUGAGGGAGAAAGUGGGGGAUCUUCGGACCUCACGCUAUCAGAUGAGCCUAGGUCGGAUUAGCUAGUUGGUGGGGUAAAGGCCUACCAAGGCGACGAUCCGUAACUGGUCUGAGAGGAUGAUCAGUCACACUGGAACUGAGACACGGUCCAGACUCCUACGGGAGGCAGCAGUGGGGAAUAUUGGACAAUGGGCGAAAGCCUGAUCCAGCCAUGCCGCGUGUGUGAAGAAGGUCUUCGGAUUGUAAAGCACUUUAAGUUGGGAGGAAGGGCAGUAAGUUAAUACCUUGCUGUUUUGACGUUACCAACAGAAUAAGCACCGGCUAACUUCGUGCCAGCAGCCGCGGU